UCUGCUACUUCUACGAUACCGAGGUCGGCAACUACUACUACGGCCAGGGCCACCCGAUGAAGCCCCACCGGAUCCGCAUGACCCAUGCUCUCCUCGCCCACUACGGCCUCCUCGACCAGAUGCAGGUCCUCAAGCCCCACCCUGCCCGCGACCGCGACCUCUGCCGCUUCCAUGCCGAUGACUACAUCAAUUUUCUUCGCUCCGUCACGCCCGAGACCCAGCAGGACCAGAUGCGGGCGCUCAAGCGGUUUAAUGUUGGUGAGGACUGUCCUGUUUUCGAUGGAUUGUAUAAUUUCUGCCAGACUUAUGCAGGAGGAUCAGUUGGCGGCGCUGUCAAGCUUAAUCAUAAUCAUGCUGACAUUGCGAUUAACUGGGCCGGCGGGCUCCAUCAUGCUAAGAAGUGUGAGGCUUCAGGAUUUUGUUA
rnacentral:misc_RNA from 1 species